UACGGAGGGUCCAAGCGUUGUCCGGAAUCACUGGGUGUAAAGGGUGCGCAGGCGGGGCAGCAAGUCAGUGGUGAAAGCCCGUGGCUUAACCACGGACGUGCCAUUGAAACUGCUGCUCUUGAGUCCCGGAGAGGCUGCCGGAAUUCGUGGUGUAGCGGUGAAAUGCGUAGAUAUCACGAGGAACACCAGAGGCGAAAGCGGGCAGCUGGACGGGUACUGACGCUCAGGCACGAAAGCGUGGGGAGCAAACAGG
rnacentral:rRNA from 1 species